GUCCCACAUUUGUCUGGUCUUCAGGUGUUCAUCCAUCAGCGUCUCUCACAGUGAAUCCUGACAGAGUCCAACACUUCACCUCUGAAUCUCUCUCACUGACAUGUGAAGGAAACUCUUCCCAGUGGAGGCUGAUCCAGUUUCUGACUGACGACUCGCUGUUGAGCUUUCUUCCUCCAGCUGCAAUCAAUGGAUCAACAUAUAUUAAGAAUGAGGCUCCAAGAAAAGCUGUGUACUGGUGUGAGUCUGGAACAGAGUUCAGCAAUGCAGUCAAUAUCUCCACACACUCUGAUGGCGUUAUCCUGGUGAGCCCUGUGUAUCCUGUACCUGUGGGAGAGUCUGUAACUCUCCUCUGUGUCAUGAAGACUGGAAAUAUUUCCUCUGAUGUGUUUUUCUACAAAAAUAACAAACUCAUUGGAAAUGCGACACGAGGAGAGAUGAAGAUCUCUGCAGUGUCAGAAUCAGAUGAAGGUUUCUACAAGUGUCAGUACAAUGGAAGAGAAUCAGCACAAAGCUGGAUGGCUGUUCAGUUAGUAUCCAGGGGAAAAAGCUUUCCAAUGUGGUCUAUUGGGUUGAUUUGGGGACUUUUGCUUCUUAUUUUUCUGCUGCUGUUGUUGUUAUGGCACUCCAAAAAGACAAAAGAUUCAUGCUUCAACAGGUCUCAAAGUUCACAGCAGAGCCAAACGACAGACCACAGCAGCAACCAGCUGGAAGAUCAGUGCAACACAUACGCUUCUC